GGGGACGUAGCUCAGAUGGGAGAGCGCUCACUUAGCAUGCGAGAGGUACGGGGAUCGAUACCCUGCAUCUCCA
rnacentral:tRNA from 1 species